rnacentral:tRNA from 1 species
ACUCAAGUAGCUUAAACAACAAAGCGUUGGUCUUGUAAACCAAAGACUGAAGGCCAUUAACCUUCCUAGAGUA